UACGUAGGGUGCAAGCGUUGUCCGGAAUUAUUGGGCGUAAAGAGCUCGUAGGCGGCCUGUCGCGUCGGCUGUGAAAACUCAGGGCUCAACCCUGAGCCUGCAGUCGAUACGGGCAGGCUAGAGUCCGGCAGGGGAGACUGGAAUUCCUGGUGUAGCGGUGAAAUGCGCAGAUAUCAGGAGGAACACCGGUGGCGAAGGCGGGUCUCUGGGCCGGUACUGACGCUGAGACGCGAAAGCGUGGGGAGCGAACAGG
rnacentral:rRNA from 1 species